rnacentral:rRNA from 2 species
UGUUUCGGCUAGGGGGCCAUCCCGGCUUACCAACCCGAUGCAAACUGCGAAUACCGGAGAAUGUUAUCACGGGAGACACACGGCGGGUGCUAACGUCCGUCGUGAAGAGGGAAACAACCCAGACCGCCAGCUAAGGUCCCAAAGUCAUGGUUAAGUGGGAAACGAUGUGGGAAGGCCCAGACAGCCAGGAUGUUGGCUUAGAAGCAGCCAUCAUUUAAAGAAAGCGUAAUAGCUCACUGGUCGAGUCGGCCUGCGCGGAAGAUGUAACGGGGCUAAACCAUGCACCGAAGCUGCGGCAGCGACGCUUAUGCGUUGUUGGGUAGGGGAGCGUUCUGUAAGCCUGUGAAGGUGGCCUGUGAGGGUUGCUGGAGGUAUCAGAAGUGCGAAUGCUGACAUAAGUAACGAUAAAGCGGGUGAAAAGCCCGCUCGCCGGAAGACCAAGGGUUCCUGUCCAACGUUAAUCGGGGCAGGGUGAGUCGACCCCUAAGGCGAGGCCGAAAGGCGUAGUCGAUGGGAAACGGGUUAAUAUUCCCGUACUUGGUGUUACUGCGAAGGGGGGACGGAGAAGGCUAUGUUGGCCGGGCGACGGUUGUCCCGGUUUAAGCGUGUAGGUGUGUGUUCCAGGUAAAUCCGGUU